UAGAGGAUUAAAGCAGUUAAAGCAGCCUCUGCAAAAAGGAAGACAACUAAUAUCAGGUUUGAUGCACAACACAGGAUUUUUAAGUCCGCAGCAAGAUUAGGAAGCCAGGUUUGGUCAAGACAGGACUCUGCCUUCCCCACCUGGUAGGAAGAGGGACGCCCUGAGUCCAGCUCUUCCAAGUGCCCUUGUUUUCAUGUGAUGUGGGUAGGACCGGAAGUACCCAUGUUCCUGGGACAGCUAGGAGGGAUGGAGCAUCUGAUCAGGAAUGGAAGCCUCAUGCAACGCGGGUAGGGGAGUCCUGGACCCAGGAACAGAGAAUGUGCGGCCAACGCAGGAAGGACGGAUCGUUAGUCCCAAGGGCUCCAUUUGCCGGAAUGGCUUCUUAUCCUGUGUCAGAGGCCACCCAGAGAUGGUGGGAAGGACAUUGCUCCUGAGAGUGCAGGCGUUGGACAGCCCGUGUCAUCUUGCUCCAGAGACCCAGCGAGAUGAGACAUUCUCGAGAGCCCAGCCUAUCACACAGACCCCUGCGGCACGGAGAAAGCCUGCCUGCUGUCUCCUCCACACUAGUCUGGGCUGCCAAGGUCUGAAUCUCUUCUUAGCAAUGUUCUUACCUUCCCCGAGCUUCAGUUUCGCCGUCUCCAAAGUGGGGUGUGAAGAUACCUCCCUCAUAUGGUGGCCAUGAAGAUGAAACGGGAUCAGGGACAGAGCACACGUCACAUCAUGCCCAGCACCUGUCAAGAACUUGCGAGCUGGCAACGUGAGGGAAUCCAUGAUAUCAGCUUCAUUCUGCACCCUACUCAGCCAUUCCAUGGAUGUGACGACAGUAAGGGGUCCUCUGAGGAGCCAGGGGACAUACCUGAUGCCUCCCUGGAGCAGCAGUGGCACCUUGAACUUUCUCUGUGGUGCGGUGAGACCAGGCAGUUCCAUCUUGUCCUUACGUGUGUCCUUCCUCAGUGUGAAGUGAUCAGUGACACAUUGAAGCCCUGAUUGUUUCUGAAAGGCUCUUUUGCGAGAUCUCCAAUAAAGUUCUAAAUGAUCA